AGUGAACGCUGGCGGUAGGCCUAACACAUGCAAGUCGAACGGCAGCACAGUAAGAGCUUGCUCUUACGGGUGGCGAGUGGCGGACGGGUGAGGAAUACAUCGGACUCUACUUUUUCGUGGGGGAUCACGUAGGGAAACUUACGCUAAUACCGCAUACGACCUACGGGUGAAAGCAGGUGAUCUUCGUAUCUUGCUCGAUUGAAUGAGCCGCUGUCGGAUUAGCUAGUUGGCGGGGUAAAGGCCCACCAAGGCGACGAUCCGUAGCUGGUCUGAGAGGAUGAUCGGCCACACUAGAACGGGGACACGGUCCAGACGCCUGAGGGAGGCAGCAGUGGGGAAUAUGAGGCAAUGGGCGCAAGCAUGAUCCAGCCAUACCGCGUGGGUGAAGAAGGCCUUCGGGUUGUAAAGACCUUUUGUUGGGAAAGAAAAGCAGCAGGUUGAGAACCAGCUGUUCUGACGGUACCCAAAGAAGAAGCACCGGCUAACUUCGUG
rnacentral:rRNA from 1 species